AAAAGAGGAAAUUUAGGGUUAAUUUUCCAACUCGCCAUGACAAUGGGGACUACUGAAGAGGAGAAAAUCCUAUUACUGUAUGGGACAGUGGGCGAGAGGUAAAGAUUAGCCCUCAGCUAACUACUGCCAGUCCUCCUCUUUUUGCUGAGGAAGCCUGACUCUGAGCUAACAUCCGUGCCCAUCUUACUCUAGUUUAUACGUGGGACGCCUACCACAGCAUGGCUGCCAAGCAGUGCCAUGUCCGCACCUGGGAUCCGAACCAGCAAACCCCAGGCCGCCGAGAAGUGGAACGUGUGAACUUAACCGCUGCGCCACCGGGCCGGCGCCCUGAACUGACAAUUUUUAACGUAUUUUGGUGUGUUCCUCGAGAUGGCGUUUUUGAAGAUUUCUAUAAUAAUUCAUAUUGCUAAUGUGUUUGGUCUCGCUGGGAAGCAGAUCAGCUCUGCAGAAUCUGCAUUGGCCGUGAUAACCUUACAAUGGCCCUCGUCUGAGGAAGCACCCGUCUCUUGAUGCUGUGUUCCCCUGCAGCCAAUACUCCAUUUCUCUGCUUCCUGUUAAGGAAAACUCUGGGAAAGGAUGUCCACUUCUCGCCUGGAACAACUCCAGCUUGCUGCAUCUUAUGGUUCAUUCUCAGUCCUCCUUUUGCUAGUCUCUCAGCAUCGUUUGACAUAGUGCAGCCCUUCUUCCUUCCCGAGACCCUUCCCUCUCGGGGCCUCUGUGAUGCCACGCUCUCCUACCUCACUGUCCCUUCCUCCUCCACUGCUGCAUCCUCCUCUUCCCGAGAGGAUGUCAUCCACUUCCUGCCUCAUUCUCUUAUCUCAUUAUUUACCUCUCUCUCUCUCUCUCUCUCUCUCUCUCGCUCUCCUCCAGCCAUUUGGCCUUGCUGACUCAUGGCUAGGAACACGUCAUGCUUUUCCUGCCUCGAAUCCUUGCUUUGCCCUCCGUCUAACACUUUCCCUCAGACAUCUGCAUGGCUAACUUUUUCUUUUCCUUCAGGUCUCCCCUCAGAUAUCAUCCCCCACCCCAGAGUCAUUUGCAAUUCUCUCACUGUGCUUUUUCUUUAAAGAAAUUAUCAUUAUCUGAGAUUAUAUAAUUAUUUGUGUACCCAUUUUGUCUGUCAACCCUGCUAGAUUGUAAGCUCCUUGAGGGUGGGGACUGGUCUAUCUUGUGCGUCGCUGUAUCCCUAAUGACAGGACCAGUGCCCGGCAUUUAGGAAGAACUCAAAGAUAUUUUAAUCAGGUAAUGCCUUUAUGUGCCCAGCAGCUUCGUGUGAAAUGACAAUGCUUUGUAUUAAUUUAUGUGUAGUAGCCACAGUCUUGAUUUUCUAAUUUUCAUUUUUUUUAGUUCUGCAGUGUCUACUUUAGACCUGAUAUAUGGAAUUUGUAAGCCCAGUCCUGCUUUUAUAGCCUUGUACAUUGUCUUUUCAGGUUUCCAUUUCCUCCUAUUCCUGUGUGUAUGUACUUUAAUGUAAUGUUUUACUUUGAAAUAAUGUGGACGUAUGCACAUACAUGUGUGAAUCUGCAGUGGUAUGUUUGGAUUAGUCAUGUGUGUUUUACCCUAGCACAGCACAUACACACACACUCACC
rnacentral:lncRNA from 1 species